GAUGAACGCUGGCGGCGUGCCUAAUACAUGCAAGUCGAGCGAACAGACGAGGAGCUUGCUCCUCUGACGUUAGCGGCGGACGGGUGAGUAACACGUGGAUAACCUACCUAUAAGACUGGGAUAACUUCGGGAAACCGGAGCUAAUACCGGAUAAUAUAUUGAACCGCAUGGUUCAAUAGUGAAAGACGGUUUUGCUGUCACUUCUAGAUGGAUCCGCGCCGCAUUAGCUAGUUGGUAAGGUAACGGCUUACCAAGGCAACUAUGCGUAGCCGACCUGAGAGGGUGAUAGGCCACACUGGAACUGAGACACGGUCCAGACUCCUAAGGGAGGCAGCAGUAGGGAAUCUUCCGCAAUGGGCGAAAGCUUGACGGAGCAACGCCGCGUGAGUGAUGAAGGUGUUCGGAUCGUAAAACUCUGUUAUUAGGGAAGAACAAAUGUGUAAGUAAAUAUGCACGUCGUGACGGUACCUAAUCAGAAAGCCACGGCUAACUACGUG
rnacentral:rRNA from 1 species